UCCCUGGUGGCUCAGAAGGUAAAGCAUCUGCCUGCAAUGCAGGAAACCCAUGUUCGAUCCCUGGGUUGGGAA
rfam:Ovis aries breed Texel chromosome 15, whole genome shotgun sequence.